UAAGGAAUAUUGGACAAUGGGCGGAAGCCUGAUCCAGCCAUGCCGCGUGAAGGAUGAAGGCGCUCAGCGUUGUAAACUUCUUUUGAAUGGGAACAAUAAUCUCGUCGUGCACGAGACUUGAGGGUACCAUUAGAAUAAGCACCGGCUAACUCCGUGCCAGCAGCCGCGGUAAUACGGAGGGUGCAAGCGUUAUCCGGAAUCACUGGGUUUAAAGGGUGCGUAGGCGGUGAGAUAAGUCAGUCGUGAAAUCUCUUGGCUUAACCAAUGAAAUUGCGAUUGAUACUGUUUCACUUGAAAGAGGUUGAGGUCAGCGGAAUGUGGCAUGUAGCGGUGAAAUGCAUAGAUAUGCCAUAGAACACCGAUUGCGAAGGCAGCUGGCUGGGCCUACGUUGACGCUGAGGCACGAAAGCGUGGGGAGCAAACAG
rnacentral:rRNA from 1 species